rnacentral:rRNA from 1 species
CUAGUAACUGCGAGUGAAGCGGGAAAAGCUCAAAUUUAAAAUCUGUCAGCCUUUUGGUUGUCCGAGUUGUAAUCUAGAGAAGUGUUAUCCGCGCUGGACCGUGUACAAGUCUCCUGGAAUGGAGCGUCAUAGAGGGUGAGAAUCCCGUCUUUGACACGGACUGCCAGGGCUUUUGUGAUGCGCUCUCAAAGAGUCGAGUUGUUUGGGAAUGCAGCUCAAAAUGGGUGGUAAAUUCCAUCUAAAGCUAAANUAUUGGCGAGNAGACCGAUAGCGAACAAGUACCGUGAGGGAAAGAUGAAAAGAACUUUGGAAAGAGAGUUAAACAGUACGUGAAAUUGCUGAAAGGGAAACGCUUGAAGUCAGUCGCGUUGUCCAGGGAUCAACCUUGCUUUUGCUUGGUGUACUUUCUGGUUAACGGGUCAGCAUCAAUUUUGACUGUUGGAAAAAGAUCAGGGGAAUGUGGCAUCUUAGGAUGUGUUAUAGCCCUUGGUUGUAUACAAUGGUUGGGAUUGAGGAACUCAGCACGCCGCAAGGUCGGGUAUUUAUUUAUCACGUACGUGCUUAGGAUGCUGGCAAAAUGGCUUUAAUCGACCCGUCUUGAAACACGGACCAAGGAGUCUAACAUGCCUGCGAGUAUUUGGGUGGAAAACCCGAGUGCGCAAUGAAAGUGAAAGUUGAGAUCCCUGUCGUGGGGAGCAUCGACGCCCGGACCAGACCUUUUGUGACGGUUCCGCGGUAGAGCAUGUAUGUUGGGACCCGAAAGAUGGUGAACUAUGCCUGAAUAGGGUGAAGCCAGAGGAAACUCUGGUGGAGGCUCGUAGCGAUUCUGACGUGCAAAUCGAUCGUCAAAUUUGGGUAUAGGGGCGAAAGACUAAUCGAACCAUCUAGUAGCUGG